CAGUAGCCGCGGGAAUACGUAGGUGGCAAGCGUUGUCCGGAAUUAUUGGGCGUAAAGGGCUCGCAGGCGGUUCCUUAAGUCUGAUGUGAAAGCCCCCGGCUCAACCGGGGAGGGUCAUUGGAAACUGGGAAACUUGAGUGCAGAAGAGGAGAGUGGAAUUCCACGUGUAGCGGUGAAAUGCGUAGAGAUGUGGAGGAACACCAGUGGCGAAGGCGACUCUCUGGUCUGUAACUGACGCUGAGGAGCGAAAGCGUGGGGAGCGAACAGGAUUAGAUACCCCCGUAGUCCCUGUCUCUUAUAC
rnacentral:rRNA from 1 species